AUUGAACGCUGGCGGCAUGCCUUACACAUGCAAGUCGAACGGUAACAGGUCUUCGGAUGCUGACGAGUGGCGAACGGGUGAGUAAUACAUCGGAACGUGCCUAGUAGUGGGGGAUAACUAUUCGAAAGAGUGGCUAAUACCGCAUGAGAUCUACGGAUGAAAGCAGGGGAUCGCAAGACCUUGUGCUACUAGAGCGGCCGAUGGCAGAUUAGGUAGUUGGUGGGAUAAAAGCUUACCAAGCCGACGAUCUGUAGCUGGUCUGAGAGGACGAUCAGCCACACUGGGACUGAGACACGGCCCAGACUCCUACGGGAGGCAGCAGUGGGGAAUUUUGGACAAUGGGCGCAAGCCUGAUCCAGCAAUGCCGCGUGCAGGAUGAAGGCCUUCGGGUUGUAAACUGCCUUUGUACGGAACGAAAAGCCCUGGGUUAAUACCCUGGGGUCAUGACGGUACCGUAAGAAUAAGCACCGGCUAACUACGUGCCAGCCGCCGCAGUAA
rnacentral:rRNA from 1 species